UUGGCCCGAUUAAAUGCAGAAGAGGUUUCAAAAGCUGCAGCAGAGGCAAGAAAAAAGUCCCGAAUCCUGCAACCUGUGGUGAGACGGGAAGCCCCAUUUGGGCUAGAAGGUGAUAGUAGCUUUGGCAGCAGUGGCCGUCGGAUGGUCCCAAGGCCUGAUAAUAAUAGAAGGAGAUCUAAUAAGAGAGUACGCCUCCCAGCUGACCUUCCUAUGGAGCCUGUAAACAAGGUUUCUGGUAUGGCUGCUGAGACAGGUUUCUCCGAGACAUCGACAAGUUUGGCCCCUCUUCAGCUCGAGGCUAGAAGUGCUUUCCAAACUAGCCGAGCAAUGUCAAGCUCGGUGGCAAUUGUUGCUUCUUCUCCAGAAAGCAGUUUAGACUCGCCAGAUAUCCACCCAUUUCGUGUUUCCUCAUCAGGUGCUGAAGAGUCUAGGAGGCUCACAGGUCUAUCAGUUGCAGGUGCUGCUUCUCACGGUGGAAUCCCACUAUCCAGGUCCACUAGUGAUGGAUAUGAAGCGUCUGGUGGGGAAGAUAGUGACAGGGUUCC
rnacentral:misc_RNA from 1 species